GAUGAACGCUGGCGGCGUGCCUAAUACAUGCAAGUCGAGCGAACAGAUGAGGAGCUUGCUCCUCUGACGUUAGCGGCGGACGGGUGAGUAACACGUGGAUAACCUACCUAUAAGACUGGGAUAACUACGGGAAACCGGAGCUAAUACCGGAUAAUAUAUUGAACCGCAUGGUUCAAUAGUGAAAGACGGUUUUGCUGUCACUUAUAGAUGGAUCCGCGCCGCAUUAGCUAGUUGGUAGGGUAACGGCUUACCAAGGCAACGAUGCGUAGCCGACCUGAGAGGGUGAUCGGCCACACUGGAACUGAGACACGGUCCAGACUCCUACGGGAGGCAGCAGUAGGGAAUCUUCCGCAAUGGGCGAAAGCCUGACGGAGCAACGCCGCGUGAGUGAUGAAGGUCUUCGGAUCGUAAAACUCUGUUAUUAGGGAAGAACAAAUGUGUAAGUAACUAUGCACGUCUUGACGGUACCUAAUCAGAAAGCCACGGCUAACUACGUG
rnacentral:rRNA from 1 species